UCAAGCGAACAAGUGCAUGUGGUGGAUGCCUUGGCGAUCACAGGCGAUGAAGGACGCGGUAGCCUGCGAAAAGCCCCGGGGAGCUGGCAAACAAGCUUUGAUCCGGGGAUGUCCGAAUGGGGAAACCCACUCCGUAUGGAGUAUCCAUGACUGAAUACAUAGGUCAUGUGAAGCGAACGCGGUGAACUGAAACAUCUAAGUAACCGCAGGAAAAGAAAUCAACCGAGAUUCCCAAAGUAGUGGCGAGCGAAAUGGGAUGAGCCUUGUACUCUUUAUUUGUAUUGUUAGCCGAACGCUCUGGAAAGUGCGGCCAUAGCAGGUGAUAGCCCUGUAGGCGAAAACAGUAUGAAAGAACUAGGUGUACGACAAGUAGGGCGGGACACGUGAAAUCCUGUCUGAAGAUGGGGGGACCAUCCUCCAAGGCUAAAUACUCGUGAUCGACCGAUAGUGAACCAGUACCGUGAGGGAAAGGCGAAAAGAACCCCGGGAGGGGAGUGAAAUAGAUCCUGAAACCGCAUGCAUACAAACAGUCGGAGCCUCGUAAGGGGUGACGGCGUACCUUUUGUAUAAUGGGUCAGCGACUUACGUUCAGUAGCAAGCUUAACCGUAUAGGGCAGGCGUAGCGAAAGCGAGUCCGAAUAGGGCGUUCAGUUGCUGGGCGUAGACCCGAAACCAGGUGAUCUAUCCAUGGCCAGGAUGAAGGUGCGGUAACACGUACUGGAGGUCCGAACCCACUAACGUUGAAAAGUUAGGGGAUGAGCUGUGGAUAGGGGUGAAAGGCUAAACAAACCUGGAAAUAGCUGGUUCUCUCCGAAAACUAUUUAGGUAGUGCCUCGUGUCUCACCUUCGGGGGUAGAGCACUGUCAUGGUUGGGGGGUCUAUUGCAGAUUACCCCGCCAUAGCAAACUCCGAAUACCGAAGAGUGCAAUCACGGGAGACAGACAUCGGGUGCUAACGUCCGGUGUCAAGAGGGAAACAACCCAGACCGCCAGCUAAGGUCCCCAAAUAUGGCUAAGUGGGAAACGAAGUGGGAAGGCUAAAACAGUCAGGAGGUUGGCUUAGAAGCAGCCACCCUUUAAAGAAAGCGUAAUAGCUCACUGAUCGAGUCGUCCUGCGCGGAAGAUGUAACGGGGCUAAGCCAUAUACCGAAGCUGCGGAUGCGUGCUUGCACGCAUGGUAGGAGAGCGUUCCGUAAGCCUGCGAAGGUGCCUUGUAAAGGGUGCUGGAGGUAUCGGAAGUGCGAAUGCUGACAUGAGUAGCGAUAAAGGGGGUGAAAGGCCCCCUCGCCGUAAGCCCAAGGUUUCCUACGCAACGUUCAUCGGCGUAGGGUGAGUCGGCCCCUAAGGCGAGGCAGAAAUGCGUAGCUGAUGGGAAGCAGGUCAAUAUUCCUGCACCGUCGUUAGAUGCGAUGGGGGGACGGAUCGCGGAAGGUUGUCCGGGUGUUGGACGUCCCGGUCGCUGCAUUGGAGAAGGCGCUUAGGCAAAUCCGGGCGCAGGAUUCAAGGGUGUGGCGCGAGCGACUUCGGUCGCGAAGCAAUUGGAAGUGGUUCCAAGAAAAGCCUCUAAGCUUCAGUCUAACGAUGACCGUACCGCAAACCGACACAGGUGGGCGAGAUGAGUAUUCUAAGGCGCUUGAGAGAACUCGGGAGAAGGAACUCGGCAAAUUGGUACCGUAACUUCGGGAUAAGGUACGCCCUUGUAGCUUGACUGGCCUGCGCCAGGAGGGUGAAGGGGUUGCAAUAAACUGGUGGCUGCGACUGUUUAAUAAAAACACAGCACUCUGCAAACACGAAAGUGGACGUAUAGGGUGUGACGCCUGCCCGGUGCCGGAAGAUUAAAUGAUGGGGUGCAAGCUCUUGAUUGAAGUCCCGGUAAACGGCGGCCGUAACUAUAACGGUCCUAAGGUAGCGAAAUUCCUUGUCGGGUAAGUUCCGACCUGCACGAAUGGCGUAACGAUGGCCACACUGUCUCCUCCCGAGACUCAGCGAAGUUGAAGUGUUUGUGAUGAUGCAAUCUACCCGCGGCUAGACGGAAAGACCCCAUGAACCUUUACUGUAGCUUUGCAUUGGACUUUGAACCGAUCUGUGUAGGAUAGGUGGGAGGCUAUGAAACCGGAACGCUAGUUUCGGUGGAGCCGUCCUUGAAAUACCACCCUGGUUUGUUUGAGGUUCUAACCUUGGUCCGUGAUCCGGAUCGGGGACAGUGCAUGGUAGGCAGUUUGACUGGGGCGGUCUCCUCCCAAAGGGUAACGGAGGAGUACGAAGGUACGCUAGGUACGGUCGGAAAUCGUGCUGAUAGUGCAAUGGCAUAAGCGUGCUUAACUGCGAGACCGACAAGUCGAGCAGGUGCGAAAGCAGGUCAUAGUGAUCCGGUGGUUCUGUAUGGAAGGGCCAUCGCUCAACGGAUAAAAGGUACUCUGGGGAUAACAGGCUGAUACCGCCCAAGAGUUCAUAUCGACGGCGGUGUUUGGCACCUCGAUGUCGGCUCAUCUCAUCCUGGGGCUGUAGCCGGUCCCAAGGGUAUGGCUGUUCGCCAUUUAAAGAGGUACGUGAGCUGGGUUUAAAACGUCGUGAGACAGUUUGGUCCCUAUCUGCCGUGGGCGUUGGAUAUUUGAAGGGGGCUGCUCCUAGUACGAGAGGACCGGAGUGGACGAACCUCUGGUGUACCGGUUGUGACGCCAGUCGCAUCGCCGGGUAGCUAUGUUCGGAAGAGAUAACCGCUGAAAGCAUCUAAGCGGGAAACUCGCCUUAAGAUGAGAUAUCCCUGGAGGCUUGACCUCCUUGAAGGGUCGUUCGAGACCAGGACGUUGAUAGGUCGGGUGUGUAAGCGCAGUAAUGCGUUCAGCUAACCGAUACUAAUUGCCCGUAAGGCUUGAUC
rnacentral:rRNA from 1 species